rnacentral:rRNA from 1 species
UACGUGAGGUGACAAGCGUUGUCCGGAUUUACUGGGCUUAAAGGGCGCGUAGGCGGCUUGCCAAGUCAGGGGUGAAAUCCUGCAGCUUAACUGUAGAGGGGCCUUUGAUACUGGCGAGCUCGAGGGAGGUAGGGGUAUGUGGAACUUCCGGUGGAGCGGUGAAAUGCUGUUGAUAUCGGAAGGAACGCCGGUGGCGAAAGCGACGUACUGGACCUCUUCUGACGCUGAGGCGCGAAAGCUAGGGGAGCAAACGGG